GGAGAAUGAUGCAGGGCUUGAAAACAAGAAAGAAGCAAAGGAAGCAAAGAGAGGCCAAGUAUUCCAACAAAAGGGGAAAGGUGACACAAAGUAGGAGCAUGCGCUCUUCUGUCCAGUAGCGCGCAGCAAGGUUUUUAGUCCAAAAAAAUCCCAAUAGUACUAUUUCAUCUUGGACUUCCUCUUUUAUCAAGAUAUAAUUGCGGAAAUUAUUUUAGAUGUAAUUUAGGAGCUUUU
rnacentral:misc_RNA from 1 species